GACGAACGCUGGCGGCGUGCCUAAUACAUGCAAGUCGAACGCUUUUUCUUUCACCGGAGCUUGCUCCACCGAAAGAAAAAGAGUGGCGAACGGGUGAGUAACACGUGGGUAACCUGCCCAUCAGAAGGGGAUAACACUUGGAAACAGGUGCUAAUACCGUAUAACACUAUUUUCCGCAUGGAAGAAAGUUGAAAGGCGCUUUUGCGUCACUGAUGUAUGGACCCGCGGUGCAUUAGCUAGUUAGUGAGGUAACGGCUCACCAAGGCAACGAUGAAUAGCCGACCUGAGAGGGUGAUCGGCCACACUGGGACUGAGACACGGCCCAGACUCCUACGGGAGGCAGCAGUAGGGAAUCUUCGGCAACGGACGAAAGUCUGACCGAGCAACGCCGCGUGAGUGAAGAAGGUUUUCGGAUCGUAAAACUCUGUUGUUAGAGAAGAACAAGGAUGAGAGUAGAACGUUCAUCCCUUGACGGUAUCUAACCAGAAAGCCACGGCUAACUACGUGCCAGCCGCCGCCGUAA
rnacentral:rRNA from 1 species